UUUACAACCCCAGAAUACUCCUUUUCUCAAUACUCUAUCUAUCUUCCAUUCCAUUAUCAGAGAAAGAAAAAAAAGUUCAGUAGUAGCUAUAGAUACACGAGACACAUUUGCUGAACUCUUUCACAUCCACAUAAAUGCCCUAUGGAAUGUGCAGCCUCCACUGAAGUUCUGCAGGAGAUAUUCUUCCACAAGGAAAAGACAAAGACCAAACGCCACUUAAUAGGAUACGCAUAGAAGUGUGAUGAAUCAUCCGAGCACAGCUGGCUUUUGGUCAAAAAUUAUCACGGGCAGCUGGAAUUUAGAAGAAAAUAAGGUGAAGGAGCUCAGUGUGAAGAUGUGAAGAGACUUGCUUUGCAGGGAGGUAUCCAUCACCCUGCUUCUCCUCUCCCUGUACAGAAACAGGUUACAUACCUUACAGCAGUACCUGCUCGCCGUUGCACUUCAAGACAAUUUCCAAAACUGUGCUGCUGCAAUUCCUACAGCUCUGGAACAAACAGUAUGCCAGCAGAAAGCACCAUGUGUGAAACACAGGGAUGCUUUGUAGCCUGUGUCAGCAGCACACGCAGGAAACCGAGCUAUGCAAAGUUGGGCGAUAAUGAGCGUGGUACCACCAAGACUGCUAAUAUUUAAAGAGUAACAAUGAAGCACAGUUUUGUAGUUAAAUGCAAAAUUAAGAAGAUGAUGCACAAUAAUGG
ensembl:lncRNA